rnacentral:rRNA from 1 species
GAUGAACGCUGGCGGCGUGCCUAAUACAUGCAAGUCGAGCGAACGGACGAGAAGCUUGCUUCUCUGAUGUUAGCGGCGGACGGGUGAGUAACACGUGGAUAACCUACCUAUAAGACUGGGAUAACUUCGGGAAACCGUAGCUAAUACCGGAUAAUAUUUUGAACCGCAUGGUUCAAAAGUGAAAGACGGUCUUGCUGUCACUUAUAGAUGGAUCCGCGCUGCAUUAGCUAGUUGGUAAGGUAACGGCUUACCAAGGCAACGAUGCAUAGCCGACCUGAGAGGGUGAUCGGCCACACUGGAACUGAGACACGGUCCAGACUCCUACGGGAGGAAGCAGUAGGGAAUCUUCCGCAAUGGGCGAAAGCCUGACGGAGCAACGCCGCGUGAGUGAUGAAGGUCUUCGGAUCGUAAAACUCUGUUAUUAGGGAAGAACAUAUGUGUAAGUAACUGUGCACAGCUUGACGGUACCUAAUCAGAAAGCCACGGCUAACUACGUG